UCGGGUGCAGAGAGACCUAUAACGCGAAUCCCGAGCUUACAUUUCACCGACCUCGCAAUGGCGAAACGAAACGAAAGUGGGAGGCAGCGAUCGCCAGCCACUACUGUGGUGUGGCCCAAGGAUUGAAUGUUUCACGCGUCUGUUCCUGUCAUUUCGCCGACGACGCCUAAUUUGAUGAAGAUGUAUUGCAAGUUCGGCUUGGGCUACGGCAGAAACAGAAGCGGCUGAAGAUUGACGCCGUGCCUACCACCCCUACCACAUUCGAUCAGGAACAAGGGCAGGAACCAGUAACGGAGGCGGCAGCAAGCACGUCAACGGAAUCAACUGGAUUUGAUGUGGAGGUCAUGGCUGAAGCAAGUGCUGGGGACCCACUUCCCACUUCACGGCGCAUCUCACAAGGGGGUUGUCAUCCCCUGAUUCCAGGAAGAGGAAAACAAUGGACACAGACUUGCAUAGCGUAUUAGUACACCAGAUAUGGAUCUGCCAACAUGAACCCUCCUAACAUCCCUGUGGCAGCGUACCUGUAACCGCCCAGACUUCACACCACAUUAAUGUAGAACCACAGCACAACAUAAUAAAAUAGCUUAGGUUUAUUUGCCUCCCAUACAUAAUGGGAGGCAAAUAAACCUAUGCUAUUUCGUUAUUCCCACUCCGUCAUACUCCACUGUACAAUAAAUCGAUACAAUUAUA